UAAUUUUGUGUUAGGUGAACCAAGUAUUCAUCAGUGAACACAUAAGAAAGCAUAUUGGAGAUGGAAGAAAUAAGGAGCUAAGAACAGUUUGAGAAGAAAGAUUAGGGUUCUUGGUAUGAAGCAUAUGGGUAUAAGGAAACCUUGUCACUGCACUCAACCAAAUGAACAAAUUUAGUAAUGUUAUCGGGAAAAAAAAUAGAUGGAGAAGAGAAACUUCCAGAAAGUCAGAAAAAGGUAAAGUAAAAAAAUGAACUAAUAGUUCAUGGCUACUAUUUUAUUACUAUUCAGGUUUAAGACUUGGCAUUUAAGAAGCCUAAUAGUUAUAUUAGAAGCUCAAACCUACAUUAAAAACUAAUUUAGCCAUGAAUAUAAACAUUUA